AGAGAGAGAGAGACAGAGACACAGGCAGAGGGAGAAGCAGGCUCCACACAGGGAGCCCAACAUGGGACUCGAUCCCCGGACUGCCCUGGGCCGAAGGCAGGCGCUUAACCGCUGAGCCACCCAGGGAUCCCCUACAUGGUAGUAUCUUAAAACCCUAAAACCACCACUUGAUAAGAAGUGAAGCAAUCUCUUUGGUCCUCAGUUCCUUCUGCCUACCUCUCACAUUCUCAAGUAAGGGACUAUGUCAAAUAAUUGGCCAUUGGCAUAUUACAAUAAAAAUAUGGUUUAUCUUAUAUCUUUGUUUCUUAUGGUCAGAAAUCACAUUUGUCAAAAUAUGCCACAUGAACAGGGAAAUAAAUUCAUGGAAGAAAUAUCCAGGGGCGCCUGGGUGGCUCAGUUGGUUAAGCAUCUGCCUUCAGCUCAGAUCAUGAUCCCAGAGUCCUGGGAUGGAACACCGCAUCAGGUUCCCUAGUGGGGAGGCUGCUUCUCCCUCUGCUGCUCCCCAGCUUGAGCUCGCUCUCUCUCUCAAGUAAAUAAAUAAGAAAUCUUAAAAGAAAAAAAAAAGCAGAAAAUGAUUCAUUUUAAAAAAAAAGAAAGGAAGGAAGGAAGAAACAAACAAGCACACAAACAUCACUAGGUUCCAUUCACUAUUUAGCUGGUCUAAAUGGAGUAAGAAGACUAUUGGGGAGCAGGGGAGGGCUGAGGCUGAACCUUUUCCGUGCCAGGACUGAAGCCAGUUAAAUAAGAUCUUAACAAAGAGUUGCUAAUCUCAGUUUAAUUAAAGAAUAAAUAAGACAUUAAAACUGAAGAACAUAAUUUUAUAAGGUUGAAAUGAAAGCUCACAUCACAUAGAACAAGUAAUGGUUAAUUUAGAUGCAAGGUAAACAACAAAAAAACUAUUGGGCAAGUUCAGAGGCCAAUACCAAAAGAUACAAGAGAAUCAAGCAUUAUGUUUUAUUAUACUAAUUGACCAUUAUACAGAUACAGAUCCAAAAUUAAGAAAUGUUAUACAAGUUAGUAUAAACUAUAUUUAAAGUAGUGUUUAAAAAAGGACUUUUCUAAAAUAUUUAAAAUUGAGAAGUAAAAAUACCUAAGUAACUUGAAAUUGUAUAAUUUGAUUUAAAGAGGAUAACUAUCCAUAUUCUAUUAGCAUUAAUGUUUAAUAGUACACAACUUAAAAUAUCAAAAAAGAUUAGACUUCUCUGGUAAUGGAUUAGCAAUCCUAGAUUUUAUUUUUUUUUUUUCUGGGUAGCAGACUAUUCCACUUUUAACCUCAGACAUCACACACACACACACACACACACACCCCAACAUUCAUACAUUCAUAUACACACAUAGAAACACACAUGUGUGCGCAUGUGCACACACCCAGAUAAGUAACUUUGGAAAAGCAGAGGAUCAAGUAUUAAAGCUUUGUAAAAUAACAAAUUCCUCCCUCAAAUUUUUAGAAUAAAUGGAGUUAAGUGAACUCCAUCAAAGUUUAUUUGAACUAUUUAAGUAUUAUUUAUGGCUUCUUCUGUUUUUGAAAAUAAGUUAUAUAUGUUCAGUAAUCUUCUAGGAAUGAUUAAUACAGUUUUCCAUCAAGUAACAAAGAUUUCUGAUAAAACAUUGAAAACCUAAAUUAAUAGAAAGACUCUAGGUUCUUUAUGAAUCCCCAAAUCAACAUUUUACACUCAAAGUUUUUCAAGGUACGAGACUGCAUAUAAAACAAGGAUCCUACCCUCAAUACUAAAUUCAGUGAGCACUACUGUGGUUUCAAGAAAAGUCAGAAAAUUUUAGAGUUAAAUGAGCUUUUCUCUUACUUUUUAUAGAGAUCCAUAAGUUAAUCUUAGGCACUAGGCUAUUAUUUUGGUAAUACAUCUUUAUAGCUGCUGAAUAAAAUGGUAUCAGUUACUUAGGUCGUGUCACUAACCUGAGUUUCUAAAUGAUUUUAUCUUAUUUAUUUUUCUAAAUAACUUUACAUGAACUAAUGUUGUUAGCUUUUGAGAUAACCUGGAGAGCCACUCCCCUAACCCCUUUCUUCCUGUUGAUUUUAUAGCAGCUCCUUCCUUGGGAAACACUCCCACCUGACAAAACCAGAGGGAGACUCUCUACAAGUUCAGGAAGAAGUUAAGGUUCCUCAUCUUACAACUCUUCUCAUAGCACUGCUGAAUCACUACAGAACAUCGAACAUAGUCCAGGAACGGCUGUUCCAUUAGCCCAAAGGGCAGUAACACUCUGUUUUCCUUCAAGAAAUAAAUUCAGGGGAAGUUAGGCCUCUUAAAAGAUCAAGUUGGAAUUAAUCCCAUGGCUUCCUCCCCUUACCUAAGCUUUUUCCAUUUCUUUGGUACAGCUCAGCUCAGGAGGAUAUGCAGGUGGUGGUAGCCUACGUGGGUUACCUCCUCUGCUGGGGUGCAAGGUGCAAGGGCAGCCCACAUCUGACUUGUGUCAAUGUUGCUGGCCACCAGCCAAGUGCCUGGCUUCUAGGGCACUAGAGUGGCUGUGAAUGAACAUGUCAGCUCGCACACUCAAAGACACCAGAUCUAUCUUACCCCUCUCCCAAGAACCUCAGGUGUCUUUUCUUUUCUAAAGGAGUGAGUCAAUAAUGUAGCUGCAUAAUUAGGAUUUCCAGUGUGCUACAAAGCCCAAAAGUUUCACCUGACUUGAGAUGCUUUACUUAGCGUGACUACAUUCUUUAUUAUAAUGUAUCUUACAUAAGAAGGGCAAUCUAGCAUAAGGUGUAAGAAAUAGUAAAGCAAAAACUCGUAUGUUGCUUCAGAACAUUAUAGAUGCCUCAGAAGCCCACAAGCAACCUCUGAUUAUAUCCCUCUCCCUCUGCAUAAUUCUAAUGUAGUUUUUGAACAUAUAAAUAACUUACAAAGUACAUAGUAAUUGUUUCUUAAGGAUGCUAUAAUUAUAAUUUCUUAAGGAUGCUAUAAUUAUAAUUUCUAUUAACUGCAGUUCUCAAAGUGAUAAAAGAAUAAAUGAAUUCUUAGAGUUCCCCUCUUUCGGUUUUCUCCUUCAUUCCCUCCCCAUUCUGCUCCUACCACUUAGGGAGUUGUCUGGAGGGCAGGAGGCAUGGUAACACUCUGCAGAGCUUAUGAUAACAGACAUUGGUGCUCCCCAAAUAUUAGUAUGUUAAUAUGCACAACCACUCUGUGGGGUAGGCACCACCGUCACCUCCAUCUGAGGCAUGAGGAAGUGAAAUUUAGAAUACUAGUGAAUGGGCAGAGGCUAUGAACCCAGGCAAUCUAGCUCUAAAGUUCAUGCUCUUAGCCACCAUGCUAUGCUGUGAUUCUCUGAGAUCUUGGCCUAUUUUUACAAUUACGAAUGUGCUAUUUUUUCCCAAAGAGAAAUGGAUUUCCUUCCUCAUGAAUCCUUCUGGGGAGAGAGUUCGUCUUUCCUUCUUCCACCCUUCCUCCCCAGUUACCAUGCAGGUAACCAUCUGUUUGCCCUGUGAGGUGACUUCCUUUCAAAUAUUAGUCCC
rnacentral:lncRNA from 1 species